AUGACAUGGACUCUACUAUUCCUUGCCUUCCUUCAUCACUUAACAGGGUCAUGUGCCCAGUUUGUGCUUACUCAGCCAAACUCUGUGUCUACGUCUCUAGGAAGCACAGUCAAACUGUCUUGCAAGCGCAGCACUGGUAACAUUGGAAGCAACUAUGUGUCCUGGUACCAGCAGCAUGAGGGAAGAUCUCCCACCACUAUGAUCUAUGGUGAUGAUAAGAGACCGGAUGGAGUUCCUGAUAGGUUCUCUGGCUCCAUUGACAGAUCUUCCAACUCAGCCUUCCUGACAAUCAAUAAUGUGAGGACUGAAGAUGAAGGUGACUACUACUGUCAUUCUUAUGAUAGUAAUGUUAAUCACAGUGAUGCGAGCCAUGGAGGAAGUAAGACAAAAUCUCCCCAGAGCACCAACUGUGAAAUCAAUUGUGAAAAUAAAUACGGUUAUUUCAGGUCCUCAGUAAAAUACUUGGGGUUGCCAAGUCAUAUAUUCCUUUAG